rnacentral:rRNA from 1 species
UACAGAGGGUGCGAGCGUUAAUCGGAAUUACUGGGCGUAAAGCGCGCGUAGGCGGCUUUGCAAGUCGGGUGUGAAAUCCCCAGGCUUAACCUGGGAACUGCAUUCGAGACUGCAUUGCUAGAGUAUGGGAGAGGGAAGUGGAAUUUCCGGUGUAGCGGUGAAAUGCGUAGAUAUCGGAAGGAACAUCAGUGGCGAAAGCGACUUCCUGGACCAAUACUGACACUGAAUAGCGAAAGCCAGGGGAGCAAACGGG